GAUGAACGCUGACAGAAUGCUUAACACAUGCAAGUCUACUUGAAACACUUUCGGGUGUGGAUGGUGGCGGACGGGUGAGUAACGCGUAAAGAACUUGCCCCUCAGCCUGGGACAACUGUUGGAAACGACAGCUAAUACCGGAUAUUAUGAGACUCUGGCAUCAGAGACUUAUGAAAGCUAUAUGCGCUAAGGGAGAGCUUUGCGUCCUAUUAGCUAGUUGGUGAGGUAAUGGCUCACCAAGGCGACGAUAGGUAGCCGGCCUGAGAGGGUGAACGGCCACAAGGGGACUGAGACACGGCCCUUACUCCUACGGGAGGCAGCAGUGGGGAAUAUUGGACAAUGGACCAAAAGUCUGAUCCAGCAAUUCUGUGUGCUUGAUGAAGGCCUUCGGGUUGUAAAGAGCUUUAAGUAGGGAAGAAGAAAGUGACGGUACCUACAGAAUAAGCGACGGCUAAAUACGUGCCAGCAGCCGCAGUAA
rnacentral:rRNA from 1 species